rnacentral:rRNA from 1 species
CGUAGGGUGCAAGCGUUGUCCGGAAUUAUUGGGCGUAAAGAGCUCGUAGGCGGUUUGUCGCGUCUGCUGUGAAAUCCCGAGGCUCAACCUCGGGUCUGCAGUGGGUACGGGCAGACUAGAGUGUGGUAGGGAGAUUGGAAUUCCUGGUGUAGCGGUGGAAUGCGCAGAUAUCAGGAGGAACACCGAUGGCGAAGGCAGAUCUCUGGGCCAUUACUGACGCUGAGGAGCGAAAGCAUGGGGAGCGAAACAGGAUU